rnacentral:lncRNA from 1 species
AACUUGCUCCUUUUGCCAAAAUUAAUGUCAGGAAAUUCCCUCUGGUUUGGAACCCUCUUCUUUGUUGCAUGAUCAUUAGAUUUCUGCAUUUCAGUACUUUGACAAUCGGAACCUUCUAUUUCAGAAACGGACACAACACUAUGGGAAAGCGAUUUCCGUGAACAAAACUGAUGUUCUUGGUUUUGGAACCUCUCAUUUGUUGUAGGAUCAUUAGAUUUUUGCAUUUCACUAUUCUGAAAUUUCAAUUGUCGCAUUCCAGAACCAAGAAGCACUCUACGAUGGCCAAAAGUUUCCGUUUUGCGGAUCAGAGGAGUAGAAUUUAAUUCUACAAGAUCCUUGGCACCAUUUAUUUUAGAAGGACCAGGGCAUUUCGAUGCUACAGAAUUCUUAUGAUCGGUAAGUGUAUUAGGAAGUUUUUUAAUUAUUUUUCGAGCGGCAUCCAUCAUUUCCCAGGCUUUCUUCACAUCACGAACUGUGCUAUUUUCUGCUGUUGAUGGUUGAACAGGAUUGCUGUUGCAAUUUGUUCUGGAAGAGACAGAAGCAUUUUGCAUACCAUCCCAAUUUCCACGAAGCCUCCUUACAUGUUCUCCUACAAAACGAUGGCGAC